rnacentral:lncRNA from 1 species
GCCAUUUCUCUGCCUGUGAGUCAGCAUUUAAUCUUAAAGCUUUUGCUAAUCAGUAUGAGUAGCAAAGAAGUCCCAAAAAAUUUUAUGUAACCCCUUCAUGAUAUUCACAAGCAUAAAAUUUCUGGUUUUGUGUGUGCUAGUGCAUUUUUUUUAAUAUCAACAUUUUACUGUUUGCCGAACUAAUUAUUUAUUUCUUUAUCAAACAUGAAAUGGCCUGAGGUCAUUCGUCAGGGGGAAGUUUGACAGGCAUUCAGAAUGCAGUUUCACUUCCCGUUACUUGUUCAGCAUGAAGACACUUGUUGUUUCCUCCCUUUGCCACCUGCAUCAUGAUGCUCUAUUUAUAAACCCUAUUGCAAUCUCAUGCCCUUUAAGUUUUUUAUUUGAAUUACAUGAAUUGUACUGGUCAUCUUCAUAUGACAAACCAUCAAAUAGACACCUUGGACUUUUUAUAUUCAUGACAUUAUUAAAUUAAGCUAUGAGAAUGCAUGAGAAGUUUUCAACAGCCAAGAGGAAGUCCCUGACUGCAUGAGCCAUUAACAGGAACAGGAACAGAUGAGAACGAAAAGAGAAAGAAGAAGCGCAGGGGACGUCCCUGAACCAGUCCAAUUUAAAAUCUGCUACAAAAAUCAAACAAAAUACAAUGGUUCAAAGCAACGCCACUUCCACCUCUGCAAAGGAUAUUUUAUCUAAACCACCUGAAAAAAACACAAUGGUUCAAAGCAACGCCACUUCAACCUCUGCAAAGGAUAUUUUAUCUAAACCUGAAAAAAACACAAACAACUUCACUUCCAUCGGUCCAGUGACUACUUUCAAAAAUGAAAGUGUUUCUCCAUCACAGAGAAUGAAUGAGACCUCUUGUGAAUGGUUUACAUGGGACACGAAAUCCAUAUUCCCAUUUGUAGUUGGCGCUGCCUUCUCAGCAAUUGUCAUCGGCAUUGUACUCUGUAUCUGCCUCUGCUGCAAAAGAAAAGCAAAACGCAAAGAGCUCAAAGCCGGCAUGUACUUUACGAGUGUGUCCAGUGAUGAUUCGAAGGUUGAAGCAGGAUAUGACAAGGUGCCUCUUCAAGGCAUUGUGACCUUCCCAGGAGGAGCUGAAGGAGUGACUAAUGGGGAGAAGACGACCAGCCCAGAGAAAGACGUGGACUACGCUACGAUCAAUUACUCCAUGCUGCAGAAGAGGGACGACACCAGCGUCCUGGGCCAGAAGAAGGACUUGGACACGGAGUAUGCAGAGAUAAAGAAGGAAAAGAAGCCUGAUGAUCAGGCCAGGAAAAAAGAUGAUGAGGACGGGAAGGAGAAGACGGAGGAAGGGAAGAAAGAUCAGGAACCAGUUGCUGAAGAAGGGGGCAGAGCUCAGCAUGAAGAAAAGUCCUCGGUGCCUUUGGUGAAUUAGGCUCUAAAAAGAGAGGGUGUGCAAGCACCAGUAGAAUGGUCAGGACAGAGUUCCACUAAAUGCUGAGAGAUGCGGGCUUAAAUGGUUUGGCAACUUAUCUUAAAACAGACACCACAUCCCGGAAAUUAGAGAAAUAAUGUCAUGUCACAAUGUCAUGCCAUGAACUAAAGCUGUUGCGAUGCCCUUGCAAACACACUCUUCCUGUUUUGUGCAACUCUGUAAUGUUCUCAUAGGUACAGUAACCAUUUUUAAAAAUCAGAUGAUUGGUGUAGGAUUUAGAAGCCCGAAAUAUUUUUUUGCUUGCAGUGUACACUUAUGCAACUUUAGUAAAAACAUGUUCUGCACCUUGUACUUGUCCAGUUUCUGAAAUAAAUGUACCAUUAUGGGCUGUAUCCA